GUACCUCCUACCACUGCUAGAUAUAUAAAUCGCCAGAAGAGGAGCAAGAAAGGAAUCUGCAUCCAUUUGAUGCAUGCAGAGUAUGCCUUGGCGUUAGUUAUAUCAGAACUGAGAAGAACGGAAAAGAAAAUUACAUUACAGAGAAAAAGGUUAUGUCUCAAUGCAGCUUCCAAAAGGUUUUUGUUGCAACCAGAAUUUUCUCUCUUCCACUCGAUUCUGGCUCUUUCUCGUGAAUGGUAACCAACCAUCUUACAGCAAGAGCUACACGAGCCACUUUAUCAAUAACUUCAGGAGAAUCUCGGAUAAUGACUGUUCCUUCUGGACG
rnacentral:lncRNA from 1 species